AAUCUCCGCUGUGGAGCAGGUACCCGCAAGGGUUUAAAAGAAAAUCCGGAUAUGCCGGAGCGGUCCCGCCACUGUGAGGGGAGCGAAGCUGCAAGGAUGUCACUGGGGCGUUGUCCUGGGAAGGCGCAGCCGAGCGAUGAACCGAGCCAGGAGAACUGCCUGCUUGACAAUCACCGUU
rnacentral:ncRNA from 21 species